rfam:Parcubacteria (Kaiserbacteria) bacterium GW2011_GWB1_52_6 TY70_C0013, whole genome shotgun sequence.
UGGGGGGUCGUCUAACGGUAGGACUCCGCCCUUUGGAGGCGGCUAUAAUGGUCCGAAUCCAUUCCCCCCAG